rnacentral:lncRNA from 1 species
AGUUUAUAAUCCCUUGUUGUUGUUAGAAGGAACGUUUUUAUUCCUUCUGUUGAAGUCUUGAAGUGCAGCAUCUUCGAGCAAGGUUGUUGAGACUUGUGUGAUUCAAGUUCUCAAGUUGUAACGGUUUGUUGAGCACCUGCAAGCUUAACAGGAUUAGUAGAACCUCGAGAUUGUAUCUCGGGAGACUGGACGUAACCACAUUUGUGGCCAACCAGUAUAAAUUCGGUGCACUUCUUCCUUACUCUCUUAUUUCCGCAUUUGAGUUAUUUUUUACUGCAAAUUUUUAUAAAAUGCUAUUCACCCCCCCUCUAGCGUUAAGCACUAAUUCUAACAAUUGGUAUCAGAGCCUAACUCUCUGUAAGACUUAACAGUUUGAGAGAAACUUUU